CCUCUACCCUCCAAACAAUCCUUUUUGCAGACUGUACUAACACAAAUCAAUGGCUACCAUUACCUCCCAAAUCAAAUUGUGGCUCAAGAAAGGCUGCACCCAUGGCAUCCUGCUAGCCAGGAAAGCCCUCCCAGUUCACAGAUUCCUGGAGGGAGCCACUGGGAACCUGAAGGGCAGAUUUCAGCUCGUGAGAACCCUAACCACGACGCUGCAUGGCUUUAAAAAGGCCGCAGAAGAUCAAAAGCAUGCUGAAAGAAGAUUAGCAGACUGCUGGGAAGAGAUUCAUGGCGAAAAUGAUUGGGUUGGCCUGCUGGAACCCUUUGAUUCUCUGCUAAGAACCGAGCUGAUCCGUUAUGGAGACAUGGCUCAAGCAUGCUAUGACGCCUACGAGGAAGACCCAUCUUCCAGAUUCGGCUAUAAAAUCAAGAUUGAGCCUCACAUGUUCUUCAAAAGCCUGGGAUUGACCAAAUAUGGGUACGAUGUCACCAAAUACAUCUACUCAUCCUACAACCUUGAUGUCCCAAACUUCUUCAAUAAACCUCUCUUAUCCGACGACUGGACCGAAGGAGCAAGCUGGAUCGGCUAUGUCGCGGUCUCAAACGACGAAUACUCAAGACACCUCGGCCGGAGAGACAUAACCAUUGCCUGGAGAGGCACUGUGACAGGCCUGGAGAUAUUCGCAGACAUCCAGGACUUCCAAACCUCCACAGAAGACCAUUCUCUCCCCACCCAUGACCCUUCAAUCAAGGUUGAAGAUGGAUUCUUGGAUGUAUACACCAAGAACGACGAAUCCAACACUUUCUGCAACAAAUCAGCAAGAACCCAGGUUGCAGAAGAAGUCCAGAGACUACUCCAUGAAUAUUCAGGCGAGAAACUGAGCAUUUCAGUGACAGGCCACAGCCUGGGCAGCGCUCUUGCCACCUUAAACGCUUAUGACAUAGCAGAAAAUAUGAUUCAAGACAACGGAGAAAAAAUACCCAUCAUCAGCGUGUUCUCGUUCUCCGGGCCGAGAGUUGGGAACUUCAGAUUCAAGCAGAGAAUGGAAGAACUAGGAGUGAAAGUACUGAGAGUAGCGAACAUCCACGACGCGGUGCCGAAAGUGCCUGGGGUUUUGUUGAACGAACGCCUGCCUGUGUUUAUGCAAAAGCUUGUUAAGUUUCUGCCAUGGAGUUACUUCCAUGUCGGGGAAAAGCUUAUGUUGGAUCACACUAAAUCUCCCUUCAUAAAAAAGUCAAUCGACAUUGCAGAAGUCCACAACUUGGAGCUUCUUCUGCAUUUGCUGGACGGGUACCAGGGGGAAGGAAGGCCGUUCUUGCGCGCAACUGGGAGGGAUCUUGCUCUGGUAAACAAAUCUAAAGAUUUGUUGAAUGAUUCUUUGCAGAUUCCACCGAAAUGGAGAGAUGCAUUGAGGAAGAAAGUUGAUAACUGAUUAAUUAGGAACUCCAAGCUAAGGGACACCAUUGCUGUCAUUGGUUGUUAAAUUAUUUUAUUUAUUAACAUAUAAGGUUGUAGGAUAAGUACAGUUUAAUUUAUUGUUGCAUGGCUAUUUAUACCAUUGUUUUUCUUGUCGAUAGGGUAACAUUUUUCCUCCAAAAUUUUAUAAUUAAAAGUUUGUAACAUUUGGAUAA